rfam:Aedes albopictus isolate Foshan contig107492, whole genome shotgun sequence.
UGUUCUGUGGCGUAUUUGGUUAAAACACCGGUCUUGCGAAUUUGGAGUCAUGGGUUCAAAUCCCAUCAGAACGC